GGGUCUGCUGUAACUUCUUGCCUGGUUCACAGCAGAGGCUGUGUUCUUCCAGUUCUUUAGCGUGCCACGUUCAUACCAACACCACCGUUUUCCCCUCUGGUCCGUGAACUUGGUACUAACGCAUCCCAACUGUAGGGAUCUCCCAUUUUUCUUCGAAGGGUUGAGCCAUUUAAUGAGGUUACCUGUGGGUGAAACCAGUCUGGAAGACAAGUUGUUUGCUGCCUCAAACUGCCCACAGACCUUCAGUUUGGUACACAACAAAAAGAGAAGAACGAAGAAGAUAAAAACGUGGUCGCUUGUCCUGUGGGCACUCCAGUGCUGAUCCCUCCAGCAGAGGAAGGGGAGGCUGAAGGUGGUGGAAGCUGUCUGGCAUUUCCUUGCCGUGAAACUCCUACCACGGGGUGCUGGUAGCCAGGAACGUGGGACUGAUGUAUGGGACAUUCCCUGAAAUGCUGGAGUAGAUAGAAAAGUAUUCAAAGGAUAUUACUGCCCGAUGCCCAGACAAGGGCUUGCCCUCCAGGAAGACUCAGGACUUAACGAAAUCCCCUAAAGUGCACCCGAAGCCCUGUAAUUCCGUUUGCUGUGACUCGUUCGUCCUGACUCACGGCUCCUUCCCAUCAAAAGUCUGUGUUUCUGAGUAUCUAGCAGAUGGCCACGGCUUGAUUUUUACUAGUUUCCUAAAAAUAAGCUGUUUUCGUUUUAAAAUAGCACCGUUUCCAUUUUUUAUUGGCCCGAAGUCUUCUCCACCAUCUAAGUGUAUUCUGUGAAAGUGGGCCUCGUGGUUCGAGAGUGGUACAAUGGAUUACUUGCCAGAGAAAUCAAAGCUUCAUAAAAGUUUGGCAACGUUCAUUAUUUUAGAUAUCAGCAGGUUCAUUGUGUUUCUGAGAUGACCGAAACAUUCAUCUCGUUUUCUGAUGCCCUUC